GGGGAAUCUUGCGCAAUGGGCGAAAGCCUGACGCAGCGACGCCGCGUGAGUGAUGAAGGCCUUCGGGUUGUAAAGCUCUGUGGGGAGAGAAGAAUUAGUGUGGGCUAAUCACCACAUGAUGACGGUAUCUCCUUAGCAAGCACCGGCUAACUCUGUGCCAGCAGCCGCGGUAAGACAGAGGGUGCAAACGUUGUUCGGAAUUACUGGGCGUAAAGCGAGUGUAGGCGGUCUUGUAAGUCGGAUGUGAAAGCCCCGGGCUCAACCCGGGAAGUGCACUCGAUACUGCAAGACUUGAGUACCGGAGAGGUUGGUGGAAUUCUCGGUGUAGAGGUGAAAUUCGUAGAUAUCGAGAGGAACACCGGUGGCGAAGGCGGCCAACUGGACGAGUACUGACGCUGAGACUCGAAAGCGUGGGGAGCAAAC
rnacentral:rRNA from 1 species